UACGACUACAUAUCAGGCAUAUCAAUAAGCGGAGGAAAAGAAACUAACUAGGAUUCCCUUAGUAACGGCGAGUGAAGCGGGAAGAGCUCAAAUCUGAAAUCUUCAAGGUUCUACCUUGACGAAUUGUAGUUUAAAGAAGUGUUUUCUGUUGGAGUUUUGGUAAAAGUUCUUUGGAAUAGGACAUCAUAGAGGGUGAGAAUCCCGUAUUUGACCAUUACUUCCAGCGUUGUGAUACACUUUCAAAGAGUCGGAUUGUUUGGGAAUGCAGUCCUAAAAUGGGUGGUAAAUUUCAUCUAAAGCUAAAUAUUGGCGAGAGACCAAUAGCGAACAAGUACCGUGAGGGAAAGAUGAAAAGAACUUUGAAAAGAGAGUUAAACAGUACGUGAAAUUGUCAAAAGGGAAGGCGUUUGACACCAGUGUUGUUUUUCCGAAAAUCAAUUACGAAUGUUUUGUUUUUAAGGAGUUAUGACUUCAUCGGCUUGCUCCUUUCUUUACGAAACUUUCUUAAUGCACUUUUCGGUUAACAAGUCAACAUCAAUUUCUUUUGUUGUAAAAGGGUAUGAGGAAGGUGGCUUACUUUUCGGAUGUAAAGUGUUUAUAGCCUUGUAGCCUCUGCAAUCGGAGAGAUUGAGGUCUGCAGCGUAGAUCCUUCGGGGUUAGAUACAGUUUGUGCUAAGUUAUAGUUUUCAUAGACAACAUGUUGACUAUGAUUAGUCAUGUAGCUUACUCGCUGAUGCUAUUUUACCUACGCUUAGGAUGUUGAUCUCUCACAGUCGAGC
rnacentral:rRNA from 1 species